rnacentral:rRNA from 1 species
CAAUAGCGUAUAUUAAAGUUGUUGCGGUUAAAAAGCUCGUAGUUGGAUUUCUGCUGAGGACGACCGGUCCGCCCUCCGGGUGAGCAUCUGGUUCGGCCUUGGCAUCUUCUUGGUGAACGUAUCUGCACUUGACUGUGUGGUGCGGUACCCAGGACUUUUACUUUGAGGAAAUUAGAGUGUUCAAAGCAGGCCUAUGCUCGAAUAGGUUAGCAUGGAAUAAUAGAAUAGGACUUCGGUCUUAUUUUGUUGGUUUCUAGGACCGAAGUAAUGAUUAACAGGGACAGUUGGGGGCAUUCAUAUUCCAUUGUCAGAGGUGAAAUUCUUGGAUUAACGGAAGAUGAACUUCUGCGAAAGCAUCUGCCAAGGAUGUUUUCAUUGAUCAAGAACGAAAGUUAGGGGAUCGAAGAUGAUCAGAUACCAU